AACACACGCUUUGGUUUCAUGACAUGCCGUGGAUGAUGAGAAAAGCAACUCUACUGAAGCUUUCCUGCAUGCUUUUGUCAUAUUCUUAUUGCUUUGGCUUUGACUGGAAGCUGAGUCACCGGAUCCUGAGGAUUAUUCUGCACCGCCGUCAUGUUCAGUGAACCCCAGUGAUUCACUCACAUCCUGAUUUCACUCAUUCACUUCAACCCGCAUCACUGCCCACAAAACAUCACAGCAGGUAAGAAGGAAACCCUGCUUCAUCUACAGGAAUAGAAGCAUAAAUGGAUGGAAUAUGGGCCGUGUUACAUCAGAGGGGAAAAUGAUCUCAUUCUUUCCUUUUUUUCCUCCAAAUGUUGACGUCAGACCUCCACAGAGCCUACAUGAUUGGUACAAGAUGUUUGGUUCAUCAAAGAUGCUUAUAUGAGACUGAUGUCAAUGCUUUGAAGACUGGUAUAAACAUCAAAUAAAUGGCACAGAAAUGAGAAUCUUAAGUUCUACUGUCACAUUGAGGGGAAAACAAAUAAACAUGUCAUAUUUUCACAAAUAUAUUGUUUCUGACUCAAUUAUAAAUUGCCAUUUAAAAAUGCAUGUUUG